rnacentral:rRNA from 1 species
CGCGUAGGCGGCUUUUUAAGUCAGACGUGAAAUCCCCCGGCUUAACCUGGGAACUGCGUCUGAUACUGGGAAGCUUGAGUUCGGGAGAGGGAUGUAGAAUUCCAGGUGUAGCGGUGAAAUGCGUAGAUAUCUGGAGGAAUACCGGUGGCGAAGGCGGCAUCCUGGACCGAAACUGACGCUGAGGCGCGAAAGCUAGGGGAGCAAACG